rnacentral:rRNA from 1 species
AGAGUUUGAUCCUGGCUCAGGACGAACGCUGGCGGCGUGCCUAACACAUGCAAGUCGAACGGAGUUAAGUGCUUCGGUAUUUAACUUAGCGGCGAACGGGUGAGUAACGCGUGAGAAACCUGCCUUUCAGUGGGGGACAACAGUUGGAAACGACUGCUAAUACCGCAUAAUGUUAUUUGGGGGCAUCCCUGGAUAACCAAAGAUUUAUUGCUGAAAGAUGGUCUCGCGUCUGAUUAGCUAGAUGGCGGGGUAACGGCCCACCAUGGCGACGAUCAGUAGCCGGUCUGAGAGGAUGAACGGCCACAUUGGGACUGAGAUACGGCCCAGACUCCUACGGGAGGCAGCAGUGGGGAAUAUUGGGCAAUGGGGGAAACCCUGACCCAGCAACGCCGCGUGAAGGAAGAAGGCCUUCGGGUUGUAAACUUCUUUUACCAGGGACGAAGAAAAUGACGGUACCUGGAGAAAAAGCAACGGCUAACUACGUGCCAGCAGCCGCGGUAAUACGUAGGUGGCAAGCGUUGUCCGGAAUUACUGGGUGUAAAGGGAGCGCAGGCGGGUCGGCAAGUUGGAAGUGAAACUCAUGGGCUCAACCCAUGACCUGCUUUCAAAACUGCCGGUCUUGAGUGGUGUAGAGGUAGGUGGAAUUCCCAGUGUAGCGGUGAAAUGCGUAGAUAUUGGGAGGAACACCAGUGGCGAAGGCGACCUACUGGGCACUAACUGACGCUGAGGCUCGAAAGCAUGGGUAGCAAACAGGAUUAGAUACCCUGGUAGUCCAUGCCGUAAACGAUGAUUACUAGGUGUAGGCUGUUUAUACACAGUCUGUGCCGCAGUUAACACAAUAAGUAAUCCACCUGGGGAGUACGAUCGCAAGAUUGAAACUCAAAGGAAUUGACGGGACCCCGCACAAGCAGUGGAGUAUGUGGUUUAAUUCGACGCAACGCGAAGAACCUUACCAGGUCUUGACAUCCUGUGACAGCCUUAGAGAUAAGGUAUUCCUUCGGGACACAGAGACAGGUGGUGCAUGGUUGUCGUCAGCUCGUGUCGUGAGAUGUUGGGUUAAGUCCCGCAACGAGCGCAACCCUUAUCGUCAGUUACUACGGAAGAGGACUCUGGCGAGACUGCCGUUGACAAAACGGAGGAAGGUGGGGAUGACGUCAAAUCAUCAUGCCCUUUAUGACCUGGGCUACACACGUACUACAAUGGCGCUAAACAAAGAGCAGCGAGAUCGCGAGAUGGAGCGAACCUCAAAAACAGCGUCUCAGUUCGGACUGCAGGCUGCAACCCGCCUGCACGAAGCCGGAAUUGCUAGUAAUCGCAGAUCAGCAUGCUGCGGUGAAUACGUUCCCGGGGUUUGCACUCACCGCCCGUCA